AAUCAACGCUGGCGGCGUGCCUAACACAUGCAAGUCGAGCGCGAAAGCGGGGGCAACUCGCAAGUAGAGCGGCGAACGGGUGAGUAACACGUGGGUGAUCUGCCUCCGAGUGGGGAACAACAGCGGGAAACUGCUGCUAAUACCGCAUGACAUCUUCGGGUCACAGCGAAGAUCAAAGCCGGGGACCGCAAGGCCUGGCGCUUGGAGAGGAGCCCGCGCCGAUUAGCUAGUUGGCGGGGUAACGGCCCACCAAGGCGACGAUCGGUAGCCGACCUGAGAGGGCGGACGGCCACACUGGGACUGAGACACGGCCCAGACUCCUACGGGAGGCAGCAGUGGGGAAUUUUUCGCAAUGGGCGCAAGCCUGACGAAGCAACGCCGCGUGGGGGAUGAAGGUCUUCGGAUCGUAAACCCCUCGUCGACCGGGACGAAAGCAUCCGACCUAACACGUCGGCGUGUUGACUGUACCGGUGGAGGAAGCCACGGCUAACUCUGUGCCAGC
rnacentral:rRNA from 1 species